CCUACGGGGGGCUGCAGUGAGGAAUAUUGGUCAAUGGACGAGAGUCUGAACCAGCCAAGUAGCGUGAAGGAUGACUGCCCUAUGGGUUGUAAACUUCUUUUAUAUGGGAAUAAAACGUUCCACGUGUGGGAUUUUGUAUGUACCAUAUGAAUAAGGAUCGGCCAACUCCGUGCCAGCAGCCGCGGUAAUACGGAGGAUCCGAGCGUUAUCCGGAUUUAUUGGGUUUAAAGGGAGCGUAGGUGGAUUGUUAAGUCAGUUGUGAAAGUUUGCGGCUCAACCGUAAAAUUGCAGUUGAAACUGGCAGUCUUGAGUACAGUAGAGGUGGGCGGAAUUCGUGGUGUAGCGGUGAAAUGCUUAGAUAUCACGAAGAACUCCGAUUGCGAAGGCAGUUCACUGGACUGCAACUGACACUGAGGCUCGAAAGUGUGGGUAUCAAACAGGAUUAGAUACCCCUGUAUC
rnacentral:rRNA from 1 species